GCCUUCGUGCUGUAAUGGUCAGCACACUCGGCGCGUAUUCGAGAGGUCCGUGGUUCGAGUCCCGGCGAGGGCA
rnacentral:tRNA from 1 species